rnacentral:lncRNA from 1 species
GUUCUGGGGACUCUGCCCAGGGUCGCGGGGCAGGGACGCUGAGCUUAGCCCGCACUUCUGCUCCCACGCGACCCAGAGGUCGCCUGAGGGCAGGGCCGGGGACCGCGACCUGCCAAGUCGUAGGGAUGGCCUGAGCAGGCUUGGCCGCCCUAGAGCGGGGUGUCGGGUUGCCCACGCAUCCAGAUCAACACUAGCGUGGAGGGAGCAUUCCUGAAGCUCUGACCUGAGCCAGGGCCCGAGUACAUGUUUCCGCCCUCCCACUUACUAGCUUAUGACCUUGGGAAAGUCCGGUUGCUUCACUGGAGCUUGUUUCCUCGGCCAUAAAAUUAAGAGGUUGGGCUAGAGAAUCUCCACAGUCCCAAACAGAUGUGAAAUUCUUUUCCUUUCUAGAACUCUCCCUUCUUUUACCUAGAAAACAAAAACCUCCUUGACACCAGGUACCGAUGCCACGUUUUGUGGGAGAACCACCUCCUCUCUUAAAAUAUAAAGCCUCCCCGGGAGUUCCGCAGAAAUCCGUAAAAAUGUAAUAUGUGGCGCGGUACACAAAUGGAAAGCUGCUCCUAAACAGCGCUCAGAACUUUGUACCUCUUUAUAGUACAGAUCAGACUCCGCUGCAAACCCAGGCAACAUUAGACUCCCCGCUUAACUCCCGGAAGGCAGAGAGCUUGGCUUGUUUAUCCAGCAUCCCUACAGUGGCCCAGCCCUUCUAGCAGGAGGGGUUGGGGGGGUGGUAUAGUGAUAGUCCUUGGUUCAGGGGGUAGAUGCAUGAUCCAGACACCCACAGCCAGCUAAAAGUUAUCAAGCUGAUGCAAUCAGAAUUUUGCUGGGGCUGGGCUUGGUGACUCACGCCUGUAAUCCCGGCACUUUGGGAGGCAGAGGUGGCGGAUCACCUGAGGUCAGGAGUUCGAGACCAGCCUGGCCAACAGGGCGAAACUCCGACACUACUGUAAGUACAGAAAUAAUUAGACGGGCAUGGUGGCUGGCGCCUGUAAUCCCAGGUACUGGGGAAGCUGAGGCACGAGAAUCGGUUUGAACCUGGGAGGUGGAGGUUUCAGGGAGCCGAGAUCGCGCCACUGCAGUCAAGCCUGGGCGACAGAGGGAGACUCCAUGUCAAAAAAAUAAAUAAAUAAAAAUAAUUUUGCGGCGGGGUAAGGAGGAAAAAGAAGUUGGGUAGCUGACCAGGCCUGGAAAGCAAGAGAUUUGAAGGACUUUGGGUGGUGGUAGAGACAGGAUGAUAGGUCUGAUUCCAAAAUUCAAGCUCUCACUGCCACUGUAAUUGAACCUCAGUCAUUUUCUGAAUCUGAUGCCUCGAUUGCUUUACCUUUUCAGGCCUCCUUUUCUUUUUAUUUUCUUUUCUUUUCUUUUCUUUUUUUCUUUUUUUUUUUUUUGAGACGGAGUUUUGCUGUUGUUGCCCAGGCUGGAGUGCAAUGGCGCGAUCUCGGCUCACCGCAACCUCCGCCUCCCAGGUUCAAGCGAUUCUCCUGCCUCAGCUUCCCGAAUAGCUGGGAUUACAGGCAUGCGUCACCACGCCCGGCUAAUUUUGUAUUUUUAGUAGAGACGGGGUUAAUUUUGUAUUUUUGGUAGAGACGGGGUUUCUCCAUGUUGGUCAGGCUGGUCUCGAACUCCUGACCUCCGGUGAUCCACCCGCCUCGGCAUCCCAAAGUGCUGGGAUUACAGGCGUGAGCCACCGCACCCAGCGUUUUUUCCUUUUAUGCCAAAUGGAGUUAGGGCAGGCUCUACCUUAUGGUGUUUUUGUUUUUUGUUUUUUGUUUUUGAGACGGAGUUUUGCCCUUGUUGCCCAGGCUGGAGUGCAAUGGCGGGAUCUCGGCUCACUGCAACCUCUGCCUCCUGAGUUCAAGCGAUUCUCCUGCCUCAGCCUCCUGAGUAGCUGGGAUUGCAGGCGUGCACCACCACGUACGGCUAAUUUUUUUUUUCUUUUUUCCGAGACAGAGUCUCACUCUGUAGCCCAGGCUGGAGUGCAAAUGGCGGGAUCUCGGUUCACUGCAAGCGCUGCCUCCCGGCUUCCCGCCAUUCUCCUGCCUCAGCCUCCGGAGUAGCUGGGACUACAGGAGCCCGCCACCGUGCCCGCCUAAUUUUUUGUAUUUUCUAUAGAGACGGGGUUUUACCACAUUGGCCAGGCUGGUCUCGAACUCCUGACCUCAGGUGAUCCACCCGCGUCUCCCAAAGUGCUGGGAUUACAGGCGUGAGCCACCGCGCCUGGCCUACCUUACGGGGUUUCUGUGAGCC